AAUUCUCUCAUUCUCUCUCUUUCUUUCUCUCUCACGAAGAAUUUGUUCUUCUUUCUCUUCCUUCAACUUUUCCCAAUUUUGGUCUUUCAUUUUCUCUUCCAUAUUCAUAUCUUUAAAAUCUGAAAGAGGAAUCAAAUAUGGGGCGUCAUGAUUUAAAAUGGCGGAAAUUUCAUCUAUUUUUUUAUUUCUUCUGAUUUACUGUUUGUUGUUUUAGGUUAUGUUUGAUUGUACUAAUUUUCAUCAUUGAUUUACUGCAGAUUUGGAGAUGAAAACAUUAUCGAUGUGCGAUAUCGAUGUUAUGAAAACAGAAGGUUUGAUAGAUUCCUCGGAUGCUUCGAAUCAAGAUAACAACAAGAAAUCGAAUUAUGGUCAAAUCUCUGUGGAGUCGUAAUCGCAUCUAUCAAAUUUGGAGGAUCAAGUGAAGUCAUAUAAGGAAAAAGUGACGACGUAUGACGAACAAGUUCAGACAUAUGAGGAAAAAGUUCAGACACUUGAAGAUGAGAUCAAGGAAAGCAUGGUAAAACACUGAGAUUAAUACUAAGGAAGUCAUGGUAAAACAACAACGAAAGUAGCUCAAGAAGUUGUCUCAGGACUGAAACCCGACACUAUAUCAAUACAAAUAUGGAGAUCCAUCUUUGUCAACGAUAAGCGAUGUUCACUAUUUCAGAACAAUGUCGGUUUCAGGCACCAAGAGUUACCCUAGCAGAAUAGCAGGUUUGAUAAUGCACCACUUUCAAUUAUUUCUCAUCCUUAGUGCAUUAUUUUUCAUUCUUCUGAUUAAGCCUUAUUUUUAAAGUGAUAUAAUUAUAAAUGGACUUGCCAUCCUUGCACCUGUUGACUCACCAAACACCGACGGCAUAGACACUGCUAAGCUUUAUUUUCUUAAAACAUCAACAUAGUCGUGGAUGUAUAUGUGUCUGUGUUAUUUUUGAACCUACUAACAAGAACUAUUUGAUUUCCAACCCUUUUCCUUUUCAACAGAUUCAUCAACGAAUGUUAGGAUUGAAGACAACUACAUUGUCUCUGGUGAUGACUGCAUUGCAAUAAAAAAUGGAUGGGAUGAGUAUGGAAUCAAAGUUGGAAGCCAUCUCAACAAAUUAUCAUAAGAAGACUAUCAUGUAUAUCGCCUUAUAGUGCUAUGGUUGCAUUAGGGAGUGAAAUGUUAGGUGGAAUCCAACGUGUAAUAGUUGAAGACGUAACUGCUAUUAACACUGAAUCAGUUGUUAGAAUCAAAACAGUUGUCGGUAGAGGCGCAUUCGUGAAAGACAUUUUUGUUAAAAGAAUGAACUCGAACACACUUGGUGAACAGGAUAAUCUAAAAGGAGGUUGAUGUGCAUAAAUCCACAUUGUUUUUUUGUCAAUAAAUGGGAGGAGAAGCUGAAUCGUGACUUGUUUUGUAUAGGUAGCACGUCCUGAUUCUGUGCAGGUUUGUUGUAAUGGAUUACCGACUGAGCGCGGUGAUAUGGACUCAUUGGAUGCAUAAUUUAUAAGGGUUAAUAACAGUUGGAUGCAGAUUAGGUGCAUGCUAUGAAUAAGUUGUUUCGCUCAGAAGAAGAAAAAUAUACUUUGCUUAACGAAAUUGUAGAGAUAACGGAAGAUUUUACUGGGGCAGAGCGGCAAAAUAUACUAUAAAUAAUCUUCAAUUGAAAUUUCUGCAUCCAUCACCAGAUUAUAGACUGACACAUCACAAAUAAAUGACAGGAAUGAAGCUGGAAUUUUAACGGCCAGGAAGGAUUUGGACUAUAUUGUGCGUGAUGAGUUGCUUGUGGCAUUAAAAAGGGUUUGUGAUUUUGCAGCUUCUUAUUGACUCAGCAAUAUCUUAUGGCGUGUUUAAUGCAUGUUUACACCAUCUAAUGAAACUUAUGGAUUUGCAGCAAAAAGGAACAUUUGAAACAGGGCAAGAGGACACUACAUAAAUUCCUGAAGAACCGAAACUGAGAUUGGCACAUAGAGAAGAAACUAUUGCUGUUCUUGCAUGUUAUUUUCCUGAACCAC